rnacentral:rRNA from 1 species
AAACCCUGAUGCAGCGACGCCGCGUGAGUGAAGAAGUAUUUCGGUAUGUAAAGCUCUAUCAGCAGGGAAGAAAAUGACGGUACCUGACUAGGAAGCCCCGGCUAACUAUGUGCCAGCAGCCGCGGUAAUACAUAGGGGGCAAGCGUUAUCCGGAAUUAUUGGGUGUAAAGGGUGCGUAGACGGAAGAACAAGUUGGUUGUGAAAUCCCUCGGCUCAACUGAGGAACUGCAACCAAAACUAUUCUCCUUGAGUGUCGGAGAGGAAAGUGGAAUUCCUAGUGUAGCGGUGAAAUGCGUAGAUAUUAGGAGGAACACCAGUGGCGAAGGCGACUUUCUGGACGAUAACUGACGUUGAGGCACGAAAGUGUGGGGAGCAAACAGGAUUAGAUACCCUGGUAGUCCACACUGUAAACGAUGGAUACUAGGUAUAGGGUGUAUUAAGCACUCUGUGCCGCCGCUAACGCAUUAAGUAUCCCACCUGGGGAGUACGACCGCAAGGUUGAAACUCAAAGGAAUUGACGGGGGCCCGCACAAGCAGUGGAGUAUGUGGUUUAAUUCGAAGCAACGCGAAGAACCUUACCAGGGCUUGACAUAUACCAGAAUAUACUAGAGAUAGUAUAGUCCUUCGGGACUGGUAUACAGGUGGUGCAUGGUUGUCGUCAGCUCGUGUCGUGAGAUGUUGGGUUAAGUCCCGCAACGAGCGCAACCCCUAUCGUUAGUUGCUAGCAGGUAAUGCUGAGAACUCUAGCGAGACUGCCGGUGAUAAAUCGGAGGAAGGUGGGGAUGACGUCAAAUCAUCAUGCCCUUUAUGUCCUGGGCUACACACGUACUACAAUGGCCGUAACAGAGGGAAGCAAUAUAGUGAUAUGGAGCAAAACCCUAAAAGCGGUCUCAGUUCGGAUUGAAGGCUGAAAUUCGCCUUCAUGAAGCUGGAAUUGCUAGUAAUGGCAGGUCAGCAUACUGCCGUGAAUACGUUCCCGGGCCUUGUACACACCGCCCGUCACACCAUGAGAGUUGGAAAUACCCGAAGCCUGUGAGCUAACUGUAAAGAGGCAGCAGUCGAAGGUAGAGCCAAUGAUUGGGGUG